CCGAUAUCCAAGGGGUGCCCCGCAGGGGGCUGAGAUCCGGUGACGCACCGGGAACCCUACGAACCUGAUCCGGGUCAUACCGGCGGAGGGAUGGAAUCGGCCAGGAUG
rnacentral:ncRNA from 2 species